GAUAAGCCAGUUCCCAUAUGUUCACUCAAGUUAAGCAACAUUGAGCCUGGUCAGUACCUAGAAGGGUGACUGCUUGGGAAUACCAAGUGAUGU